rnacentral:rRNA from 1 species
CAGCCGCCGCGGUAAUACGGAGGGAGCUAGCGUUAUUCGGAAUUACUGGGCGUAAAGCGUACGUAGGCGGCUUUGUAAGUUAGAGGUGAAAGCCUGGAGCUCAACUCCAGAAUUGCCUUUGAUACUGCAUGGCUUGAAUCCAGGAGAGGUGAGUGGAAUUCCGAGUGUAGAGGUGAAAUUCGUAGAUAUUCGGAAGAACACCAGUGGCGAAGGCGGCUCACUGGACUGGUAUUGACGCUGAGGUGCGAAAGCGUGGGGAGCAAACAGGAUUAGGUACCCUGGUAGUCCACGCCGUAAACGAUGAUAACUAGCUGUCCGGGGACUUGGUCUUUGGGUGGCGCACUAACGCAUUAAGUUAUCC